GAUGAACGCUGGCGGCGUGCCUAAUACAUGCAAGUCGAGCGAACAGACGAGGAGCUUGCUCCUCUGAUGUUAGCGGCGGACGGGUGAGUAACACGUGGAUAACCUACCUAUAAGACUGGGAUAACUUCGGGAAACCGGAGCUAAUACCGGAUAACAUGUUGAACCGCAUGGUUCAACAGUGAAAGACGGUUUUGCUGUCACUUAUAGAUGGAUCCGCGCCGCAUUAGCUAGUUGGUAAGGUAACGGCUUACCAAGGCAACGAUGCGUAGCCGACCUGAGAGGGUGAUCGGCCACACUGGAACUGAGACACGGUCCAGACUCCGACGGGAGGCAGCAGUAGGGAAUCUUCCGCAAUGGGCGAAAGCGUGACAGUGCAACGCCGCGUGAGUGAAGAAGGUCUUCGGAUCGUAAAACUCUGUUAUUAGGGAAGAACAAAUGUGUAAGUAACUAUGCACGUCUUGACGGUACCGAAUCAGAAAGCCACGGCUAACUCCGUG
rnacentral:rRNA from 1 species